GAUGCCUACGGGGGGCAGCAGUGGGGAAUAUUGCACAAUGGGGGAAACCCUGAUGCAGCGACGCCGCGUGAGUGAAGAAGGCCUUCGGGUUGUAAAACUCUGUCCUUAUCGAAGAGAGGUGGGUAUGUGAAUAAUGUACUCAUAGGACGGUAGAUAAGGAGGAAGCCCCGGCUAACUACGUGCCAGCAGCCGCGGUAAUACGUAGGGGGCGAGCGUUGUCCGGAAUCACUGGGCGUAAAGGGCGCGUAGGCGGUUUAAUAAGUCAGUGGUGAAAACUGAGGGCUCAACCCUCAGCCUGCCACUGA
rnacentral:rRNA from 1 species